rfam:Felis catus isolate Cinnamon breed Abyssinian chromosome B3, whole genome shotgun sequence.
GCCUGGGUGACUCAGUCGGUUGAGUGUCUGACUUCGGCUCAGGUCAUGAACUCAUGGUUGGUGAGUUCAAGCCCCACGUCAGGCU